CUCUGUCACCCAGGCUGGAGUGCAGUGGCACGAUCUUGGCUCACUGCAACCUCCGCCUCCUGGGUUCAAGCAAUUCUCUGCCUCAGCCUCCCGAGUAGCUGGGAUUACAGGUGCCCACCACCAUGCCCGGCUAAUUUUUGUAUUUUUAGUAGAGACGGGGUUUCACCAUCUUGGCCAGGCAGGUCUUGAACUCCUGACCUCGUGAUCCACCCGCCUCAGCCUCCCAAAGUGCUGAGGCGGGCGGAUCACUUAAGGCCAGGAGUUUGAGACCAGCCUGGCCAAC
rnacentral:lncRNA from 1 species